GAAUUACACUUACUGACCCGGACCUCGCGUUUCUGCGGAGACGCGGGAAACAAGACGUGUGCAGUCCGUCUGUCCGAUGAUAAGCCAGCCGACCUGGAGAGGGCCCUGGAAGGUCCCCAAAGUUCCGCGAGAGAUGGCCCGGCGAAGACAGACCUCCUGGACUUAAGGCCGAGUUCACCAAAUCCGCCCCGGGGAAAGGCGAGGGCAAAGGCGGGGUGGACCGACCCAGCUGCGGCUGAGUGGCUGAGGUCCCGAGCAGGGCAGACGAGCGCAGGAGAACUCAGGAGCAGAGAUGGGGAGCUGGAUCUGCGCAGAACCCCGGAAAAGCGCCAGCAGGACUGCACCGAGAACAAAUCCUCCGCUCCCUCGCCCAGGGCUGGGGCGCAGCGCGCUGGUGCUCCUCUGGAGCUGGGCGGUCCCCGUGCUCCAAACAAGAAGCUGACUUCUGGAUCCUUCACUCUUUGAUCCUGACCCAAGCCACUCGUGCCACCAGGAGCGCAUGCCUCUGGAAUACUCGCUCCUGUCUCCUUGUGGUGAAGCCUUCCGCUGAUGCCCAGAGUCUCCCAGGCUGAAUUAGUGGGUAGGAGCAAAACAGGAUGGUGGAGACGAUCAGCAGAGCAGCAGCGUCUGUUUCCUCGGGAUUCCUCCCAGGAACACUAUUCGAAGCCAUUCCUUCUAAAAGUUUGCAGCCAGUCUCUCUUUCCUUUGUUCGUUUUUAGAGGAGGCAGUAGAGCUACCUACAUUUAAAAAACCAAAGCCUGAUACUGAUAACCUAAGUCUUUACUUAACCAUCCUGUUUGGAGGCUUUGCACACAUUACUUUUCCUCUAUGCAUUGGCAUUUCUGAAAUAAGGAUGGUUAUGCUGGUGUGCUUGGAAUUUCUCUGAAAUAUACCCCUAAAUGAUUAGACUAAAAAUCAGAUUCUGCUACUUUAAAAGGAAAAAAUAUAUAUUUAUCUGUUAAAAAAAAAAAAAAAAGGCAAUACAUGUUCUCCAAGAUGUUAAUUAAAGGCUUCUCUCAAAUGGAUUGGAUUUUCAAUUCCUUCAGGGUUUUUCCACACCCUAAUAGUAUUGCAACUGUAAGGCAUUUUUACAGUGUAAUCUGAUUAAUCUUCAGUUAAUAUAGAAUUAUGCCCACAGGAGUAUAGGAAUUGUUUAUAAAACAAAGCAGUCCAGGCUUUUCAAAUACCUAGAAACAAAGGUAAACAGAACUGGAAAUAUACAACGUGUUCUACACAGUUCCACUGAAAGUCUUUUUGUAGAUUUUUUUUUUUUUCCUUAAGAAAGUACUCUUUGCCCAAAUAUGUGUUCUAUGUGACGGGGUCCAUUCUUCUUAAUAUAUCUACACUGGUGAAGAAUGAACUAUAUACCAAUAAGGUAUAUUAUUGAAAGAGUAGAAAUGGAUUUAAACAACAACCACACAAACAAAUCAAAUAUCCAGCAAAACAGAUGAGUGUUGUCUUUCAGAGCAAUUGCUUUGGAAAAUUCAACUGAUUUCAGUGAUAUUGAUUGCACAAAACAUUUUUUAUCUUCUUUGAAAUUGCCUUUCAGAAGCAUAUUAGCAGCCAUAAACAACUAUUUGUCUCACUCCGUUAUAGAUGUGUAUUUGUCUUAGUAGAUUCAUAUAGUUCCACAGACAUCUAGUCAGCAACCUCGAAAGAGUAAAUGAUCUCUAUGAUUAAUGUCCUUUAAUAAAGUUUAGAAUUGGAUGAGAAACUGAUAAACUGAAAUUAAAGUCACUUUAUAGUGUAUCAUGUUAUCAAGGAUAGCUGUGGGAAUUAGCUUAUGACACUUUUGUGCAUCACAGUCUAAUUAAUAUCCUUAAAUGUGCAUGCAUAUCCUGUGUAUUGUAGUAACAACAAACCACUGUGAUGAAUGUCCAUAAACCCAAUUAUGACACUGACAGGAGAUUGGGAGUUUGUGGAAUUGGUGGUGAAAUAUCGAUUAAUCCAAAUUGAAAUAGGAUAAGAUUAUUGAUGCUUGAUUUCUUUUGUAUCAAAUCAUUUAGUUGCUCAGGAAAUUCCAUUUCUAACCAGAAUAUGUGCUGUGACUGCUCUUCAAAUAGAGAACAGACUCAAACUCACAUGCCUACAUGGUUAGGGCCAAUGACAUAAAUGGACCAGCAAGCUAGGUUGUAGGAGAGUGUGGAAAAUGGUGAUUGCUAUAACACCUUGAAGAGCACAAAAGCACAUGCUAUAGCUGAAUGGGGAGAUUGCUUCUCAGAUUACACUCAGCUGGCCUGCAAAAAUCUCGAUUCAGUAUUGUCAGAUCUGAUUUUUAAGAGAAGCAAAAUCCAUAUUGUUAAAAAUCUUCUGAAUUUUAAAUAAGCAAAAUUAAUUUUUAAAAAUUCAAAACUCCUAGUGGACAGGCCAAAAUAAAUAAGAAAUAAUAGAUAGAUAGAUAGAUAGAUAGAUAGAUAGAUAGAUAGAUAGCAGCCUGACUCAUCCUGGGCCUCCAAUAUUGUAACCUGUGAUAUUAGUAUUUGAUGUUUGACAAAUCUCCUAAAAUAUUUAAAACAUACUUCUACUACCAUUUCCCCUACCCCAUUGACCAUUUCUCAAUGCACAGAAAUACAAGAGGAAUACAACCAAAGAUUAGUUGCCAAAUAAGUAAUGUUCUUUUCCAUAUCUGGUUGAAUAGAUAUUCCCAAGGAAAUUCUACAGUAAGGGAUUUGUUGAAUAACUGAACAAUCCAAAUAUUUUAGAUAGCUGGAUGAAAUUUCAGAAAAGCUCUUCAUUACAAAAGAAAAAGUUCAAUAAUAUCAGUAUUGAGGACCACUUGUGAUACAUACUUAUUAGAUAAAGAAAAUCAUGAUGUAGAUUUCCUUCAGUGUAAUUUCAUUUUAACAGCAAAGAUGCUUCCCCCAGGGUAUAAAGAAUUUCAUUGUUAUUUUGAUUAUAAAAGUUAUUUAUAAUCAUUGUAAAAAGUGAGAAUAAACAAAAACAGCAAAGAAGAAAUAGACAUUAUCUCAAACAAUGCAGUCCCACAGAACUUUCUGCAAUAAUGGAAAUGUUCUGUACCUGUGCUGUGCAGUACAGUAGCCACUGGAUAUAUGUGACUAUUGAGCACUUCACAUGUGGCUAGUGCAACGGAAGAACUGAAAUUUUAAAUUGUAUUAAAUUGUAGUUAAUUUGAAUGUAAAACUAAAUAUAGUUUACCCUCAAACAACACAGUUUGAACUGCACAGGUCCACUUAUACUCAGAUCUUUUUCAACCAAACACAAAUGGAAAAUACAGUGUUUGCGGAUGUGAAAUGGCCUUUACAGAAGGUCCAUUUUUCAUAUAUGUGGUUCUGCAGGGCCGACUGCCAGACAUGAAUAUGCCUGGGUUUUGGCAUACGCAGGGUUUCUGAAACCAAUCGUUUCACUCCCCACCCCCCACCCCAGUAUGCAGAAUGACAACUGUAGCCACAUAGGGAGCGUAAGUGGUGGACUGUAUAAAGUCUAAACUUUCAUCAUCC
rnacentral:lncRNA from 1 species